AUUACUAAAGUAGUCAUGUUCGCUAACAUCCGAGCUUUGAUAUUUGUUUGCGCAAUUGCAUCAACCAUCAAUACGGUCAAGCUCCAAGCGUGUUAUGAUGACGCAGAUUGCAUCAACAUCGAAGUGAGUUGUCCAUGGUUCAUAAUUUGUAUAGAAAUAAGCUGUGUCUGCAGCUUCCACAAACGCC